UUUUGUUUGCAGAGGCAAUUCGCGCAAGGGAGGGAUAGCAAUUUGAUGGCUUGCGAGUGACAGCACGAGCCGAAUUUAUUGCCCGUGGAAGUACCCACGAUAGGAAUACACUGUUGGGAACAUGGUGGCGCCGCUGACGGUACCUAUGUAAGUGGAAUUACUUUAUUGGAAGUACCCACGACGGGGAAAAUAGUCUCUCUAGUAUUGUCGGUGAAUGGUGAUGGUGGUGGUGGCGAUGGCUACUUUCCUCUGCUCAGAGAGAACCCCUGCAUGUCCUUCGUCGUGAUGCGAAAGAGCAGUGGAUGCAGAAAAUGUCUCUACCUGCCAGGAUGGUAUAAGAGCACGAACUGAAUCACCUGUUGGUGCAGAAGGCUUGGAGGACUGCUUUUGAAACAGUUGUUCAAAUUUCCUGCACCUCUUCGUAGCCGUUGUCUGAUUUCUGCAUUCUGGGGAGACUGAAGUUAAGAAGCCCUCACCGAAACCAACACUACGUUGCUGUGUUGUUUUCUUCCAAGGUCGGGCACAGUAAAGGAGACGACUCUGUAUCAAGGCACUACCCAGAGGGAGGAUGUUGGCCUUCUCCUGAUGGGAAAAUGUCUUCUUUCUCAUGGCGUGGCCAGGACUGCACUGACCCUACCAUCCACUCUACCUCUCGGGAAAGGGACUUGACAACCAGUCAAGAUGGAUGUGCAGAGAUAUACCAGCGCUUCUAGCAUUAACUGCCAAUUUGCACUGACGCAGCAAGACUCCCAACAGUCAAAAAAUGUCUCUACCUGCCAGGAUGGUAUAAGAGCACGAACUGAAUCACCUGUUGGUGCAGAAGGCUUGGAGGACUGCUUUUGAAACAGUUGUUCAAAUUUCCUGCACCUCUUCGUAGCCGUUGUCUGAUUUCUGCAUUCUGGGGAGACUGAAGUUAAGAAGCCCUCACCGAAACCAACACUACGUUGCUGUGUUGUUUUCUUCCAAGGUCGGGCACAGUAAAGGAGACGACUCUGUAUCAAGGCACUACCCAGAGGGAGGAUGUUGGCCUUCUCCUGAUGGGAAAAUGUCUUCUUUCUCAUGGCGUGGCCAGGACUGCACUGACCCUACCAUCCACUCUACCUCUCGGGAAAGGGACUUGACAACCAGUCAAGAUGGAUGUGCAGAGAUAUACCAGCGCUUCUAGCAUUAACUGCCAAUUUGCACUGACGCAGCAAGACUCCCAACAGUCAAAAAGAAUAAUAUAGACGUGCAGAAAAUGUGGGAAAGCGAUGACAUCAGAAGGACACUCUCAGGUUCAGGGUACCUGCACUGCCCCAAUAAAGUGGGUCAGAUCCCAAAACGAGGUUGGCCGAAGCAAAAAAAUUGAAGAGCCUGCCUUGAAUUGAAUAUGAGGAAGAAGAAGAAGACAAAGAAAGAGAAAGAGUAGGAAUUUGUUUGUGUAAACUUUGUUUCCUCUGUCUAGGCUGCCAUCGCAUUAUAGCAGCCAACAGUGUGUGUGUGUGUGUGCAUAUGUGUGUGUGUGUUUGCGUUUGUGUGCACACGCUUGUGUGUGUGUGUGUGUGUGUGUUUGCAUGUGUGUAUAUUCUGCUAAUCUUGACUUAAAUUUCCGUAUCUGGGCAUAUUGUGUUCUGUAUGUGAAUUUAUCAUCAUUCCCGUAGCUAUGCAGAAGACGUUACUUCAGUAAUGUCUGGCGCUAGCCAGGGUCCACACAGCUUUAAUUUGGUAUUUGUGUGUUUGUUUGUUUGUGUCACGCCUGGCGCUAUCCGUAUCUGACGGCAAAAAAAGCAUAGGGACGUUAUAAAUUUUUCAAUUCUCCUAUUUUUUCAGGCAUAUGCUGGGAUUCGAACCCGCACUAUCGCCCUACAUGCAUUCCCCCAUACACUUCGCAUUCAUACCCAUUCUUCCAAGUUGCUUCACGUUAUGAUCUUGCGUUUGAAAGCCCUAUUUGAAUAUUGCUGGCAGCUAUAUGUGGCCAGCUGUGUUUGAUGGUACGGUACGGUACGGGAGACGGUGUCGUAUUACCGUCGAUCGUACCUGUCCCGUACCUAUCCCCUACCGUACCGUGCCAUCAAAGACGGCUGGCCACAAUGCAUAUUCAAAUACUAGUAGGGCUUUCAAAUGCAAGAUCACAAUGUGAAGCAACUUGGAAG